GAUGAAGAACGUAGCGAAAUGCGAUAAGUAGUGUGAAUUGCAGAAUUCAGUGAAUCAUCGAAUCUUUGAACGCACAUUGCGCCCCUUGGUACUCCAUGGGGCAUGCCUGUUCGAGCGUCAUUUACACCCUCAAGCUCAGCUUGGUGUUGGGCGUCUGUCCCGCUUCGUGCGCGGACUCGCCUCAAAUGCAUUGGCAGCUGUCUUGCCAGCUUCUCGCGCAGCACAUUGCGCUUCUAGAGGCUUUGGCGGAUCGGCGUCCAUCAAGUACACCCACAGUUUGACCUCGGAUCAGGUAGGGAUACCCGCUGAACUUAAGCAUAUCAAUAAGCGGAGGA
rnacentral:misc_RNA from 1 species